GGCAGAGCUGAGCCCACAGCACAGCAGUCACACCAAUCAAAGCACACAGAGCAAGGAGCGCUUGGUUUAUGGUUUGUUUUUUCCGGGGGAGGGGGGUCAUGUUCCAACUUUACUCAAAUAAAUGGUAACACUUUACAACAAUGAUACAAUCUUCAACCAUUCAUUAACGUGAGUUAAGGCAUUAACUAACGGUUCUAUCACUUUUAAAUUGUCUGGUAAUAAAUGACUAAUGCUGUUCAUGACUUACUAACGGUGUUCAUAUAAACGAAAAUAUUACUUUAUUGAAUAACCGAUAGACCUAUGGUAUAUAAGUCAGUGUAAAUAUGCUUUUAACGGGGAGGUGUGGUCGUGGAGAUCAGAGCCUGUGAGGGCACAAAAAAAAGAUUUCCUUCCUUCGACGAUGGCUCUAUGUUUUGUUUUAUGAUACACCAGCUCAUUGGCUGAAGUUAGCGUCGUAGAUGACGUCGGCUGGUCACCUUGCUUACCCCACCGGGACCGGGAGCCACUAUCUGACACAGCGAAAGGAGCAGCGCGCUUAAUGAAUAACUCAGCUUUACCAGCAGCUUUGCAUGUUUGGUACGCGGUGGUAAUGAAUUCAGAGGUUCUGUGAACCCAUGCUGGCCAUAUAAAGACAAUAGAGGCCCAUCAAGAAAGAAGGUUUUAGAAAUGACGAGGCCUACCUGUUGGUAAGCUGUCCUCGUCUAAGCAGGAGCUCCUCAGCAUGCUUCCAGUAUCCCUGGAGAGACCGCG